GGGCGCUUAGCUCAGUCUGGCUAGAGCACUUCCCUUACAAGGAAGGGGUCACUGGUUCGAGUCCAGUAGCGCCCACUA
rnacentral:tRNA from 1 species